rnacentral:lncRNA from 1 species
GUUCCCCGGCUUUGCCGCGCGGAGGAAGUCCCGGUUACGCAGAGCGCGCUGGGGCAGGGCUGACCUUCCCCUUUCUCUACUUCACUGGCCUCCUCCAGACGUGGUGGUUGCGCCCUUUCGGCCUCGCUUUCCGUUUUUUGGCUUCAUCCCCUAGAUCUGCAAACAGUUCCUCGUGUUUCUUCCGUUAGCCGGGAAACGCGAACUGCAGCGUUUGGGACCCGGGUUUGCGCGUGUGGAAAGCAAAAGGGGUUACUCUGCUGGAGUUCGACAUUGCAAAUAAAGGUCUUUAUCCCCGGCGGUUCUACAAAAUUAGUUCUGCAGGGAUUCUGGUUGAAAGAAGCGUUAAAGUGGGCCUUGUAGGAGUCAGCAAUAAUCCAAUUUUACAUGGGUGCAGGUGGCUGCCUGUGUCUAGCGCUUUCACACAUCUCAUAUCUUCAUCCACGCCGUGGGUAUUUUUUUUCCACGGUGUGUUUCUGUUGCUGCCUCCAGUAUAUUGCUUAAUCAUCCUACCUGGUAAUUAUUUAUGCAUUUUUCUCCUACUCUCGACUCAGCUCCUAGGGAAUAAAAACACAUUAACUUAUCUUUGUGCCCACAGCACCCACCAAGUAUUUCCAUCACGUAAUACUGCCUCUAGAAAGGCAGGAGGAGAAGCAGUCACGCUAAGGAUCUAGGCAAGCCAGAUCUUUUGUCCGGUUUUAGGAGGUGGCCAGCCCUUACUUAUUCCACAAGUGUUUUUCCAGAAACUCAGACUUGAUAUUGCCUCAAGUCCAAGGCAGUGUGCUUCCCCCACUCACAUAUCACUAAUAGUAGCUAACAUUUGUUCAGAUCCCUGUAUGUACUCUGCCACUGUUUUAAAUGUUACACCCGGGUUACCUCAUUUAAUCCUUACAACUGCCCUGUGAGGUAGGUACUAUUAUUAUCUCUACUUUGUAGAUGGGAUUCACCGAGGCACAGACGGUUAAAAAACCUAGCCCAAAUAACACAAAUAAACAGCAGAGCAUGCAGUGCUAGAGUCUGCAUUCUUAACAAUUGCUAUAUUCUCCCUCUCCGUGAAUGUGGGCUGAGAUGCUGAAACAGGCAUGUGCUGUGGGGGAGAAAAAGCUUUGUCCAACCAAGUGCUUUCUAAUGUCCAGAUGACAUAGAGCUAGGAUUUCCUAAUGUCUUUUUUCCCCUAUUUUUCUCUCCAUUUCAGGGUUGAGUUUGUGCAUCGAUUGUGAACACAACAGGCAGCAGGCUAUAAUGGUGGUCCUGGCUGGAGUAGUUUUCACAGACUUCAGUAAUCUGUGGAGAUGAACGGGCAGUUCUCUGUAGUUUUCACAGAUCACUGCCAGUUCGUUUUGAGGCCUUCAGGAGUGAAGACCUGGCUCAUCAUCACUCUUUGUUGUUUUGUUAAAUUUAUUUACACCCUACUUUAUUCCAGAGGAAAGGAUUUAACGUAGUUUACAUAAAUGUGUACAUCAGGGUAAAUUAAAAAUAAGUACAGAGAAAAAUAGGACAAAAGAAAACCGUGAGUGUGAAAGAUAAGAUUAAGCCAGCAGUUUUGUAUGCAAAAUGCAUGGUGUAAGGUCCUAUUGGUUUGCUGGAGGUAGGCCACACAUAUGACUCUCAGUUUUCUAGCAACCAAGAAAAAGAUCAGUUGCAAUCGGAGUAGGUGUUUUGGCUAAGCUGGAACUAGGACUUGAAUAUAGCAGCUUGUAGAGUUAUACCACUUGCCCAAAUCUCUUCCAUGAGCCUCUUUAAGUGUAACAGAAUGCCUGGGAGCACGUAAAUGCUCCUACUUAGAUGCCUACUUAGCCUCUAAUUUUCAUGGGGCCCAUGAAUCCCAUGAAAAAGAACUUUGAACCCUGUCCACAAUUAGAGUUCAGGUAUACGCAGACAUGUUUAAAGACAAGGGACACCCAAAGGAAAGAUUGCACAGAGAGAAAGUGAGCAUCCGAGAGAAAAUCACCACAAGUGAGGCAGAGGGAGGCCGGUCUCAGCAGAGUUUUGGAGGUCGUGAGAAGAAGAGGUAGGAGAUAGGAGAGUGGUUCCGAGUACUUGCCUGCUGAUGUUACCUUCUCCACCCCCACCAGGUUUUCCAGUGCCUGGAGUCUUGGGCAGGAAUGGGCCACUGUAAGAAAGAGCUUUAUCACUAGGGCCUCAGCCAACUUUUCUGUGGGAUAUCCCUCCAAAAUAAUUAAGAGUUCAGAAUGCUUCAGAUUUUGAAGUGAAACUGGUACAUAUAUUAAGUGUUACUUAAUAACCCGAUAGUUUCUAGGGCAGCUCACCAUAAUCCCAAGUAUUAGCCACCACCCUCACCCCCUUCAGAGUAAAAUGUGUUUCCUGAAGGAAGUUGGGAAAAUGAAGAAAAAAAAUACAAAAAUCACCUAUAAUCUUACCAGUCAUAGAUGGCAGUUUUCCUGUCUUAUUUCUGAAUAAUGGUUGUUAAACAUUUGCCAGCACACCAUAAGGCUUAGGGAGGCAUCUGGGUCAUGCAUGUUAAUAUCCUUGGGUAAUUCCAGAAAUCUCUAUGAAGGGAAACUCCUGUUAUUUAUCUAGACUUCCUGAUUGCAAGGGGUUUGGGCAUCAUGAUUUAGGGGUCUUAAUAAAAUUAUUAUUUUAUUUUUACUAAUAGAUAAUGUCUGUGCCUAUCAGAUAAAGGCAAACCAGUGCUCAGAGGAACCCAACCAUCUCUGAAUUGAGACCAGAGAGCUGUCUCUAUGGAUAGUCCUUAGAGAAGGCAUUUCGGAACACAGUAAACAGCAGCCUGGUGACUCCGAUUACAGGGCCAGUUGCCUUUGUUACAAUAAAAGCAAGUCAUCUACACAGGCUGGAGUGUAGUGCCAUGAUCUCGGCCCGCUGCGAUCCCCACCUCCUGGGUUCAAGUGAUUCUCCUGCCUCAGCCUCCUGAGUAGCUGGGAUUACAGGCAUCCGCCA